rnacentral:rRNA from 1 species
ACGCUCGACACCUACGGGAGCCAGCAGUGGGGAAUAUUGGGCAAUGGGCGCAAGCCUGACCCAGCAACGCCGCGUGAAGGAAGAAGGCCCUCGGGUUGUAAACUUCUUUUAACAGGGACGAAGUAAGUGACGGUACCUGUUGAAUAAGCCACGGCUAACUACGUGCCAGCACGCCGGACGGUUAAUCUGGAGGGCGGGCGUCGGACGAAGGC